rnacentral:lncRNA from 1 species
GUAAAUUUUCCAAGCGCAGUUCUCUCAACUUUGGGAGUUUGAAUUCGAUGUUUCUGAUGCUGCUUUCUUCACCCAUAUCCCCUUCUUCAUCCGAUCUUGCUCCACCUAUUAUCUCCUCCAUUUUCUCACAUCCUUCAACAAUAAUCUUUUCUAGGUUUACAAGGUGAAUCCAAGAAGAUGGAACCAAGAUUUCUAUGAUACUACAACUCCUUACUUCAAUUACUUGGAGAGAAUCGCAAAUCAAUUUUGCACUACAAAUGCUUUUUAGUUCUGGUAAAUUUUCCAAGUGCAGUUGUCUCAACUUUGGGAGUUUGAAUUCGGUGUUUCUGAUGCUGCUUUCUUCACCCACAUCCCCUUCUUCAUCCGAUCUUGCUCCACCUAUUAUCUCCUUCAUUUUCUCACAUUCUUCAACAAUAAUCUCUUCUAGGUUUACAAGGUGAAUCCAAGAAGAUGGAACCAAGAUUUCUAUGACACUACAACUCCUUACUUCAAUUACUUGGAGAGAAUCGCAAAUCAGUUUUGCACUACAAAUGCUUUUUAGUUCUGGUAAAUUUUCCAAGCGCAGUUCUGUCAACUUUGGGAGUUUGAAUUCGGUGUUUCUGAUACUGCUUUCUUCACCCAUAUCCCCUUCUUCAUCCGAUCUUGCUCCACCUAUUAUCUCCUCCAUUUUCUCACAUCCUCCAACAAUAAUCUCUUCUAGGUUUACAAGGUGAAUCCAAGAAGAUGGAACCAAGAUUUCUGUGAUACUGCAAUUCCUUACGUUAAUUACUUGGAGAGAAUUGCAAAUCAGUUUUGCACUACAAAUGCUUUUUAGUUCUGGUAAAUUUUCCAAGU